rnacentral:rRNA from 1 species
UACGAAGGGGGCUAGCGUUGCUCGGAAUCACUGGGUUUAAAGGGUGCGUAGGUGGAUUGGUAAGUCAGUGGUGAAAUCUCUGGGCUUAACUCAGAAACUGCCAUUGAUACUAUCAGUCUUGAAUACCGUGGAGGUCAGCGGAAUAUGUCAUGUAGCGGUGAAAUGCUUAGAUAUGACAUAGAACACCAAUUGCGAAGGCAGCUGGCUACACGAAUAUUGACACUGAGGCACGAAAGCGUGGGGAUCAAACAGG